rnacentral:rRNA from 1 species
GACGAACGCUGGCGGUGUGCUUAACACAUGCAAGUCGAACGGUAAGGCCCUUUCGGGGGUACACGAGUGGCGAACGGGUGAGUAACACGUGAGUAACCUGCCCUCAUCUCUGGGAUAACAGUCGGAAACGGUUGCUAAUACUGGAUAUGAGCUUGCAAGGCAUCUUGUGGGUUGGAAAGAUUUUUUUUGGUUGGGGAUGGACUCGCGGCCUAUCAGCUUGUUGGUGAGGUAGUGGCUCACCAAGGCUUCGACGGGUAGCCGGCCUGAGAGGGCGACCGGCCACAUUGGGACUGAGAUACGGCCCAAACUCCUACGGGUGGCAGCAGUGGGGAAUAUUGCACAAUGGACGGAAGUCUGAUGCAGCAACGCCGCGUGCGGGAUGACGGCCUUCGGGUUGUAAACCGCUUUCAAUUGUGACGAAGCUUUUUUGUGACGGUAGCAGUAGAAGAAGCACCGGCUAACUACGUG